CCUACGGGAGACAGCAGUGAGGAAUAUUGGUCAAUGGGCGCGAGCCUGAACCAGCCAAGUCGCGUGAGGGAAGACGGUCCUAUGGAUUGUAAACCUCUUUUGUCGGGGAGCAAAAGACGCCACGCGUGUCGUUCCGAGAGUACCCGAAGAAACAGCAUCGGCAAACUCCGUGCCAGCAGCCGCGGUAAUACGGAGGAUGCGAGCGUUAUCCGGAUUUAUUGGGUUUAACGGGUGCGCAGGGGGAAGAUCAAGUCAGCGGUAAAAUUGAGAGGCUCAACCUCUUCGAGCCGUGGAAACUGGUUGUCUUGAGUGAGCGAGAAGUAUGCGGAAGGCGUGGUGUAGCGGUGAAAUGCAUAGAUAUCACGCAGAACUCCGAUUGCGAAGGCAGCAUACCGGCGCUCAACUGACGCUCAUGCACGAAAGUGUGGGUAGCGAACAGGAUUAGAUACCCCAGUAGUC
rnacentral:rRNA from 1 species